rnacentral:tRNA from 1 species
AGACCCAGUGAACGAAAAAUUCUACUCCAAAUUUGCAGUUUGGCACUUGCUGGGCC